UGAUGAUAGGAGAGUGGCAAUUCUUUGCUGUCCUGCUUGUACUGUAGGAUGUGGUGAUGAAAUUGAGAGAAAGAAUGAAGGGAAGAUUUUUCUUCAUUUCAUUCAUUAGAACUCUUGAUUUCUCUUGUCUAAACUUUGCAUAGAAAACUCUACUCUAAACUUUAUAUGAAAACAAACACAUGAGUUACUACAUUGUAAGGAAAUGAGUGGAACUUAAGGGCUUCGUGUCUUUAUUAUGUUAAAUUGUUUAUGAACUUAUAGCAAUAAUGUUGGUGUAGGAGCUGGGCCUGGUGCUGAUGCUGGUGAUUCUGGUGCCAAUGCUGGAGGUGUUGGUACUGGUAGUCACGAUAGGGAUGGUGUUGGUGAAAGUGAAGGUGUUGGUGUUGGUGAUAGUGGUGGUGGUUGUGUUCUAGGUGGAGUUCUUGGUCGUGGUGGUAGAGGCAUUCUUGGUCGUGGUGGGGGUGGUCUUCUAGGUGGUGGUGGUGGUGGAGGACUUGGUGGUGGUGGAGGUGAACAAGCAUUUGGAGUAAAAUAAUAGGGUCCACAAGUGAACUUAUUAUUUCCAUUAUUGAUGCAUGUUCUUAAGGAUUGGCCACUUGAUCCACCAUUUAUGUCUGUUAAGAAAGAACACCCUCGGGGUGCUCUACUCGUAUCGACACUCACUCGGCAACUCUCAAUAUCUGUUCCAGUCUUCACUAAUUUAAAGAUAUUAAAGUAUCCUCUAUUAUUUGUAAAUGAUGAAUCACUGUCUCUUGGACAAACC
rnacentral:lncRNA from 1 species